CAGUCGCCACGGUAAUACGGAGGGUGCAAGCGUUAAUCGGAAUUACUGGGCGUAAAGCGUGCGCAGGCGGUUAUAUAAGACAGAUGUGAAAUCCCCGGGCUCAACCUGGGAACUGCAUUUGUGACUGUAUAGCUAGAGUACGGCAGAGGGGGAUGGAAUUCCGCGUGUAGCAGUGAAAUGCGUAGAUAUGCGGAGGAACACCGAUGGCGAAGGCAAUCCCCUGGGCCUGUACUGACGCUCAUGCACGAAAGCGUGGGGAGCAAACAGGAUUAGAUACCCGCGUAGUCCCUGUCUCUUAUAA
rnacentral:rRNA from 1 species